AUGUGUGAGUGUAUCUGUGUGUGUGUCUCUGUAUGUAUGUGUCUGUAUCAAACAGACACAUACAUACAGAGACACACACAUACACAUA